UGAGGAAUAUUGGGCAAUGCCCGAAAGGGUGACCCAGCAACGCCGCGUGGAGGAUGAAGGUCGUAAGAUUGUAAACUCCUGUUAGAGGGGAAGAAUAACUAAGUUUGGAGCUUAGUAUGACUGUACCCUCAGAGAAAGCCCCGGCUAACUACGUGCCAGCAGCCGCGGUAAUACGUAGGGGGCAAGCGUUGUCCGGAUUUACUGGGUGUAAAGGGCGCGCAGGCGGAAUGGAAAGUCAGUGGUGAAAUCCUACAGCUUAACUGUAGAACUGCCUUUGAUACUUUCAUUCUUGAGUUCGGGAGAGAGAGACGGAAUUCCAGGUGUAGUGGUGAAAUACGUAGAUAUCUGGAAGAACACCAGUUGCGAAGGCGGUCUCUUGGUCCGAUACUGACGCUGAGGCGCGAAAGCGUGGGGAGCAAACAGGAUUAGAUACCCUUGUAGUCCCUGAGCGGGCUGGCAAGGCGCAU
rnacentral:rRNA from 1 species